UGCUCUGGCUCAAGAUAACUCACCUAUUGCUCUUAUCUAUAGAAUGGUUAUUGGUUAUUUUUUGUUGACAUUUCUUGGUAUAGUCAUGGCAGGAUUUCAGAGAAACUCACUGGAGACCACCUGGAAUCUACACUGAACGGGCAUUCGGGCUCAUUGAGCACCGCUCUGGAUCACUGCAUUCUUCAGGUGACCCUGAAACAAGAUGGCCACCUUCCUGUUGUGUCCUUACAUGGAAGAGAGAGAGAGAGCAAACUGCUGUUUCUUCUUAUAAAGACACUAAUCUCAUCAUGAAAAGAAUCACCAUGAAUCACCCUCAAGACCAGAUCUAAACCUAAUUACAACACAAAGGCCCUACCUUCUAAUACCAUCACAUUGGGGGUUAGGAUUUCAACAUAUGUAUUGGAGACAAACAUUCAGUCCAUAACAGCGUUUAACUCCAACCAUCCAUCAUAACUCUCCACAGAAGGUCCAUGUAGACAAGGAGAGACCAAAGAAGGAAGAGGGGAGAAGAAGAUUUCUGAGGGCCGGCCCUGUGGCUUAGCGGUUAAGUGCGCGCGCUCUGCUACUGGCGGCCCGGGUUCGGAUCCUGGGUGCACAUGGACAUGCCGCUUCUCCGGCCGUGCUGAGGCCGCGUCCCACAUACAGCAACUAGAAGGAUGUGCAACUACAACAUACUACUAUCUACUGGGGCUUUGGGGAAAAAAAAAAAAGGAGGAGGAUUGGCAAUAGAUGUUAGCUCAGAGCUGGGCUUCCGCAGCAAAAAGAGGAGGAUUAGCAUGGAUGUUAGCUCAGGGCUGAUCUUCCUCACAAAAAAAAAAAAAAAAGAAAGAAAGAAAAUUUCUUUCAGAUUCACAGAUCACCACUCAUGCUAUCAUAUAAAGUUUUAGAAUUCUUUCCUUUCUAAGCUAUAAGGUUUGGACAAAUUUCCACAGCCUAGCAUUUUAGUAUGUAUAUUUCAAGACCAAUUUUUUUUUCCAUUUCUAUACUUCUAGUGUCAGAUGCUGUUGGACAUGUUUAUAGAGUAAUAUGCCUCUGACUCAGGUGCUAACAUCCUGUGACAUGACACCAGCUGAACUGACAUGAUGGAUGAUAGAAAGCCAUUCCUACACAGAGACAGCUAGCAAUGACAUAACUAUCCAUGCCAGAGACUGAACCACAUAUCUAUGUCAUAUUAAACUCAAUCUCAGUGUAUCCCCAACUCAACUUCCUUUUAGACAGAUCUCAAAAAUUCCUGCAGUCACUGCAACCCUACUUACCAUGAGGAAAGUAUAAAGAAGGCAAAGAAAGUGAAGACAGCAUAAUCUCAACUGACUUCACAUAAAAUACUUUACUUUUGUAGAUGUUACAAAAGCAUAUGGUCACACGCAGUGCCACAGCCCCUUGCAAGGCCUUGGAAGUAAAUGGCCAGUGAUAGUAAAAGGCCUAAGUAUGUGCUUCAUUAGCUUCCUGGUAAAUCCACCUCUGCCUGGAGAGUUGCAUUUUGUUUUAGCAAAAGCUUGUCUCCUGAAAUUCCCCUCUCACUCAAAGCUGAUAACUCCUCAUAGACACAGACAGAGCUGUGUAGCACAAAGCGUCCACAUAGCUUCAUGAAUAUUUGUUCAGCUAAGUAGAUAGGUCUCUUUCCACACAAAAGAUUAUUUCAGUAUAUUGGACUACUAUGUUUAAUAAUGGAUUUCAAUUAUGAUCAAAUGUUUAUAUUGAGGGCAAACAAUAAUAACAAUAAUAAACAGUUAAUUCACCUAUAAUAAUGUUUCCUUAUGUUUAUACGGUAUUUUUAACUUUUCAAUGUACAUUUCCAUAAAGAUCUACGGCUAUUAACUAGAUUCCCUGUCACUAGAAAAAAUCCCGAUAAUACAUGUAAAUACGGAUUAGUAAAAAGACCCAUCAUCUCACUUAUUUACAUAGAACGCAUUUACCUACAGUACGAUGAUUUAAUGUGUAAGCAGACACAGCAGGAACUGCAACUCCUCCCCCAUGUAAAUAUGUGUCAUUCUGUAUAUACAAACUACCUCUGUAAUAAAAUGAAGAUUACAUAAAUGGGAUUAAAAACCGUAGUACACGAUUUUAUCCUGAUAAAUAUGUCAUUUAAGCAAUUUCAAGUAUCAUUUUGAGACAUAAAAAUUAGUAAUCUCUUUUACUACAACACAGAUUUAGUUAUUUUAU